rnacentral:rRNA from 1 species
UCACCAGAGUACCAAUUGGAGGGCAAGUCUGGUGCCAGCAGCCGCGGUAAUUCCAGCUCCAAUAGCGUAUAUUAAACUUGUUGCAGUUAAAAAGCUCGUAGUUGAAUUUCAGCGUUUCGCGUGUGCCUCUUUUGGCCCAUCUCGUCUCGCUUUUUUUAUUACUUUGAGAAAAUUAGAGUGUUUCAAGCAGGCUUUUGUCUUGAAUACUUGAGCAUGGAAUAAUAGAGUAGGACCUUGGUUCUAUUUUGUUGGUUUUGUUACCUUGGUAAUGGUUAAUAGGAACGGUUGGGGGCAUUCGUAUUUAACUGUCAGAGGUGAAAUUCUUAGAUUUGUUAAAGACGAACUACUGCGAAAGCAUUUGCCAAGGACGUUUCCAUUAAUCAAGAACGAAAGUUAGGGGAUCGAAGACGAUCAGAUACCGUCGUAGUCCUAACCAUAAACUAA